GUAGGGAAUAUUGCGCAAUGGACGAAAGUCUGACGCAGCGACGCCGCGUGAGUGAUGAAUGCCUUAGGGUCGUAAAGCUCUGUUGAAUGGGAAGAAAAAAAUGACGGUACCAUUCGAGGAAGGACCGGCUAACUUCGUGCCAGCAGCCGCGGUAAUACGAGGGGUCCUAGCGUUGUUCGGAAUCAUUGGGCGUAAAGGGUGUGUAGGUGGCCAUGUAAGUCAGGUGUGAAAGCCCCGGGCUCAACCCGGGAAGUGCACUUGAUACUGCGUGGCUUGAGUACCGAAGAGGGUAGUGGAAUUCCAGGUGUAGUGGUGAAAUACGUAGAUAUCUGGAGGAACACCGGUGGCGAAGGCGGCUACCUGGUCGAGUACUGACACUGAGACACGAAAGCAUGGGGAUCAAACAGGAUUAGAAACCCGAGUAGUCC
rnacentral:rRNA from 1 species